GGCCCAGUAGCGGACGGUAUCCGCAUCUGCAAUCAAUAGGUAUACGGUACGCCAUAAUUGUGCAGACAACGCUCGUUCGACUCGAGCCUGGGCCG